GUACGUACUGGCAUUGUUGGUUUCUCCCUUCUGACGAACCAUGAUGUCAUUUAUUUGGUGUUGUGGGGAAUCAGGACUGUUACUUUGAAAAAAUUAGAGUGUUUAAAGCAGGCUCACGCUUGAAUACAUUAGCAUGGAAUAAUGAAAUAGGACGUUUGAUUCUAUUUUGUUGGUUUCUAGGAUCGACGUAAUGAUUAAUAGGGAUAGUUGGGGGCAUUAGUAUUCAAUUGUCAGAGGUGAAAUUCUUGGAUUUAUUGAAGACUAACUACUGCGAAAGCAUUUGCCAAGGAUGUUUUCAUUAAUCAAGAACGAAAGUUAGGGGGUCGAAGACGAUCAGAUACCGUCGUAGUCUUAACCAUAAACUAUGCCGACUAGGGAUCGGAUGAUGUUAAUUUUUUAAUGACUCAUUCGGCGCCUUACG
rnacentral:rRNA from 1 species